rnacentral:lncRNA from 1 species
AUGGACGGACAAAUGAAUGAAUAUUUUUGGGGUCCAAAUAGAUGCAUAGCGUAUUCGUUGUAUAAGGCCUUGGAUGGAUUUCUUGAAACUGCAGUUUUGUGUAAGAGCUCAUUCUUUCAUUUUGGCUUAUUGUUUUUGGUAUGUAUUGCCACACAGAUUGUAAGUCAACAGCUGGUUUGUCAUUUGUGGGGUUCUCUGUUUCCCACCUUGUUGUUUCUAAUGUCUCAGUUAUUAAGGCUUGCGACUCUCUUGGGAUGGGCUUCGUAGUUUUGGCAUUGUUCCGGUCAACCUGUAGGUCCGCAUUGUGCACUUCUGUCGCUGGUGCAGUGCUGAGAUUCACUUUCUCUGUCUCUCCUGUGCUCUUUGGGCCUCUUUUUGAGGAUUCUUGUUGUCAUGCCCAUGUGUGCUGCUGUUUGCCGGGUGCUCUGGUGCUCAAGGGGUGUUUUGUAAAUACAGUAGAACCUUGAUAACUCGAACCUCUAUUACUCGAAUUUUCGAUAAGUCGAAG